rnacentral:lncRNA from 1 species
GCUUCUGGCAAGCAUGCAACUGCAUUCUUAAAUUUCUCUACUUUCACACUUCUUUCUGCAACAUCAGUCUGCCAACAAAUCCAUCACAGAAUAUAUGUUCUUGCUAAAUGGUGAUGAGAAGAGAGUAACCUUUCUUCCAGAGACUGUCACUUUAGGCUAAACUUUAUUAUUACAUGCAUCUAGAUCAUGAAAGGGAAGUAAACUUUACAUAAGCUAUUUUUAUUUGUCAUGUGUUUCUAUAAAGAAGAAAAGUGUUGUCUUAAUUGCAAACAAAGUCUUGCUUCUUUGAUCAAACUUUUCAUCUUCUUGGUGACCUUCGUAGAUCUCUUAAAAAU